rnacentral:rRNA from 1 species
AGAAGCUUGCUUCUCUUGAGAGCGGCGGACGGGUGAGUAAUGCCUAGGAAUCUGCCUGGUAGUGGGGGAUAACGUUCGGAAACGGACGCUAAUACCGCAUACGUCCUACGGGAGAAAGCAGGGGACCUUCGGGCCUUGCGCUAUCAGAUGAGCCUAGGUCGGAUUAGCUAGUUGGUGAGGUAAUGGCUCACCAAGGCGACGAUCCGUAACUGGUCUGAGAGGAUGAUCAGUCACACUGGAACUGAGACACGGUCCAGACUCCUACGGGAGGCAGCAGUGGGGAAUAUUGGACAAUGGGCGAAAGCCUGAUCCAGCCAUGCCGCGUGUGUGAAGAAGGUCUUCGGAUUGUAAAGCACUUUAAGUUGGGAGGAAGGGCAGUUACCUAAUACGUGAUUGUUUUGACGUUACCGACAGAAUAAGCACCGGCUAACUCUGUGCCAGCAGCCGCGGUAAUACAGAGGGUGCAAGCGUUAAUCGGAAUUACUGGGCGUAAAGCGCGCGUAGGUGGUUUGUUAAGUUGGAUGUGAAAUCCCCGGGCUCAACCUGGGAACUGCAUUCAAAACUGACUGACUAGAGUAUGGUAGAGGGUGGUGGAAUUUCCUGUGUAGCGGUGAAAUGCGUAGAUAUAGGAAGGAACACCAGUGGCGAAGGCGACCACCUGGACUGAUACUGACACUGAGGUGCGAAAGCGU